AGGUCAGCAUACUGUGGUGAAUACGUUCCCGGGCCUUGUACACACCGCCCGUCACACCAUGAGAGUUGAGAAUACCCGAAGCCCAUGUCAAAGUGGUCGAAGGUAGGCUUGAUGAUUGGGGUGAAGUCGUAACAAGGUAAC
rnacentral:rRNA from 1 species